GGCCCGGUAGCGGAUGGUCCGCGCCUGCACUUGGUGUGGUGAUUCCCUCCUCUUCUGUGCAGGAACUCGCUCGUUCGACUCGAGCUCGGGCCA